AAGUGUCAACUCAUUCACAAACGGUAAUACAUUUGAGACUCAAAAAUUUACAACGGUAACAAAUAUAGACGUUGGAAAAGUAGCAUUGGAAAAACAAAUUCAUAGAUUUGAGACUCAAAAAUUUACAACGGUAAAAAAUAUAAACGUUAGGAAAGUAGCCGUUGGAAAAACAAAUCCAAGCUGCCUAUAUAAGUGACUCUUGCUCAGAAACUUACUUACCACAAUCCUUUCUUCUUCGUCUAUAUUAUCACUUACAAUUCUCAUAGUUUCACAAAGCAAAGGCUCCUUCUUUUUUCUUUUGUUCAAAAACGAGAGAGAGAGAGAGAGAGCAAAGUUUCAUCCAAGAUUUCUCGUAGUCAAACCCUUGAAGCAUUUUCAUCCAAAGUUUCAUCGUCACUUCUUCAAGAUUUGUGUUCUUGAAAGUUCUCUGCAACGAAAGGUAAGUAACAACAAGUCGAAGGUUUAUCAAAAUUGCUCUGCUCUGGCCUCUGUGAUCUUAUAAUCUCUCUGCAUCGUAAUGAAGAACCAGAAGAGGAUUCAGGCUCUGCUUUUAGGUUUGACAGAUGUCUCACAGUCAUGCUGUCAGAUAAGGUCCACGGCAUGUAGACCCAGAUGAUCUUCACAUUAUCCCUCUUCGUUUUCGGCAUUGUUGAAGGUUUUGUUAAGGAAGAAGAUAAAAGAAAGAACUUAACUUUUUCCCUUUUCUUUUGGUAAAAGAAAAAUGACUUUGCCUCGGAUCAAACCUUUUUAGGUUCACAAAAUAUUGUAUUACCGUCUGUAAUUGUAUUACUCCGUCUGUUCCUUA